CACCGGGGGGGGUUUUUUUUUUCUCACCAAGGUGUAGUACCAGUUUUCCGUAGGGGAACCUUUCGCAAGGUUCCUU
rnacentral:rRNA from 1 species